rnacentral:tRNA from 1 species
AUUAUUUUGGCAGAUUAGUGCGUUAAAUUUAGAAUUUAAAAAAGGAAUUAAAUUUUAUAUUUCAAAUAAUA